rnacentral:rRNA from 1 species
UACGAAGGGGGCUAGCGUUGCUCGGAAUCACUGGGCGUAAAGGGUGCGUAGGCGGGUCUUUAAGUCAGGGGUGAAAUCCUGGAGCUCAACUCCAGAACUGCCUUUGAUACUGAAGAUCUUGAGUUCGGGAGAGGUGAGUGGAACUGCGAGUGUAGAGGUGAAAUUCGUAGAUAUUCGCAAGAACACCCGUGGCGAAGGCGGCUCUCUGGGCCGGUACUGACGCUGAGGAGCGAAAGCGUGGGUAGCAAACAGG